CGGUGAAUACGUUCCCGGACCUUGCACACACCGCCCGUCAAGCCAUGGAAGCCGGUGGUACCUAAACGUACGAGUAACCGCUAAGGAGCGCCUAGGGUAAAACUGGUAACUGGGGCU
rnacentral:rRNA from 1 species